ensembl:lncRNA
CCAAAGACACGAGGAACCAGAAGAACCGACAAGAGCCAAAACCCUGAUGACCUGCUGCAGUCUGAUAAUGAAGUUGUAGAGAUUCAACCGAAAGGCUCUGCUCCAACCAUGGCUAAGUUACGGGAGGACUAUAAAUUACUGAAAGAGGAGAAUCGGCUUCUGAAAGAGGAUGAACCGGCUUCUGAAAGAGGAGCGGGAUUUCCUUAGGGAAAAAGGUCUCAACCCUGUGAAGACUGGCCCUUCAACAACUUCUAAAGGGUCCCACGAAAGGAUGGUUAAGGAUUCUUCAGACUCUUCGGCAUCUGACUCUGAGACAGACUCCUCCUCCUCUGAAGGAGGGAAGAGGAAGAGGAAGAAGAAGAAGACGAUCAAGAAAACCCGCACAGCAUUUGGGAAAAGAGUUGCAGAAACGUCGAAAUAUUAAAGUUGUCUACAUGAAAGCAUAACUUUGACAACGCGCGCUUUUGGACCAAUGAAAUCUGUUCGUCAAGCAAACGUCGAUGGUAAUACAGCUUUCAGACCUGAGAGCACGCUCAAGGUAGAAGACGUAGGACUGAGAAGAAAUGAGCAAGAAAAGAACACGUGCAGCCACUGGAGUAGCGGGAGCCAGCAACGGCACCGCGUUGACCUCCUCACCAACUCAUGCACCUGCUCCAACAGCGCUGCAUGAGAUUGAGAUGUUAAAAGUAAAGCUGGAGGCUGAGAGGGAGAAAGUUAAUUUGAAAGAGGAGAUGAUCGAUGUGCUAAAAAAAGACAAGAUCUACCUCCAGGGGGAGCUCACCAAGAAAGAUGCUUACUACCAGGAGCAGCUGGCCAAGAAAGACGCCAACUUCAAUGACGAGCUGGCAAGGAAAGAUGCCAUCCUACUAGAUAAAAUUAAAAAUAAGAAAAUUAGGAAGCAAGCCGAAGUUAAAAAUUCCUCAAGCUCGUUUGAAAGUAUCCAAGACCUCGUGUCUUCCUCCAAAAAAAAAAGGAAAGCAAAAGCUUAAAACAUUUUGUAAAUCAACUCCACUGGAGCAGCAGCUAGACUCCGAAGGCCCUUCACACAGCCGUGUUCGGAUUUGGAACACCAAAGGGGUUAUUUUAAGAUAUGUGGCCGCCCUGGAAGCAUUCAGAAGAGGGAAGUCCAUGAAGGCAGCAUUCGAUGCUGUCGGGGUGGACCGAAACAGGGUGGCGAGGACUGCCAUUGUGGCAGAACUGCAUCUGGCAGCACCAGAAGUGUUCGAGUCCAUCAGCUGGAAUGAGCGAGUGGAAUCACUCUCCACCUUUAUUGCUAGGUGCCGUUCACUUGUGACACCAGAAAUGAAAGAUAAAAUAAGCAAGAUGAAAACGGAUGGGGACUUGCUCCCGAUGGCCGUCCAUUAAAAUUUCACAUCAAAGUCACAUCACAGUUGUCUACAGCAG